rnacentral:rRNA from 1 species
GACGGAGGAUGCAAGCGUUAUCCGGAAUGAUUGGGCGUAAAGCGUCCGCAGGUGGCAGUUCAAGUCUGCUGUCAAAGACCGGGGCUUAACUUCGGAAAGGCAGUGGAAACUGAACAGCUAGGGUAUGGUAGGGGCAGAGGGAAUUCCUGGUGUAGCGGUGAAAUGCGUAGAGAUCAGGAAGAACAUCGGUGGCGAAGGCGCUCUGCUGGACCAUAACUGACACUCAGGGACGAAAGCGUGGGGAGCGAACAGG